rnacentral:rRNA from 1 species
GACGAACGCUGGCGGCGUGCUUAACACAUGCAAGUCGAACGGAAAGGCCCCCUUGUGGGGUACUCGAUUGGCGAACGGGUGAGUAACACGUGAGUAACCUACCCUUUACUUUGGGAUAACUUCAGGAAACUGGUGCUAAUACCGGAUAGGAGCUCCUGCUGCAUGGUGGGGGUUGGAAAGUUUCGGCGGUUGGGGAUGGACUCGCGGCUUAUCAGCUUGUUGGUGGGGUAGUGGCUCACCAAGGCUUUGACGGGUAGCCGGCCUGAGAGGGUGACCGGCCACAUUGGGACUGAGAGACGGCCCAGACUCCUACGGGAGGCAGCAGUGGGGAAUAUUGCACAAUGGGCGGAAGCCUGACGCAGCAACGCCGCGUGCGGGAUGACGGCCUACGGGUUGUAAACCGCUUUCGCCUGUGACGAAGCGUGAGUGACGGUAAUGGGUAAAGAAGCACCGGCUAACUACGUG